rnacentral:rRNA from 1 species
AGCUCCAAUAGCGUAUAUUAAAGUUGUUGCGGUUAAAAAGCUCGUAGUUCGAGCUCAGUUCCGGACUGGCUGGGGAGGUCACCGCCCGGUGCUUCCCCGUCAGGCUCCGAACAGCUUCCGUGAGUGGAAGCCAAGCCGGUUCCGCCGGGGUGCUCUUUACCGAGUGUCCCGCGCGGCCGGCCAGUUCACCUUGAAUAAAUGAGAGUGCUCAAAGCAGGCUACUCUCGAAUACAAUGCCCGAAUGUUACCUGCAUGGAAUGAUGGAAGAUGAUCUCGGUUCCAUUUUAUUGGUGGUGGGAGCCAGAGGUAAUGAUAAACAGGGACUGUCGGGGGCAUCCGUACUACGACGCGAGAGGUGAAAUUCAGUGACCGUCGUAGGACGAACAACAGCGAAAGCAUU